GACGAACGCUGGCGGCGUGCUUAACACAUGCAAGUCGAACGGAAAGGCCCUGCUUUUGUGGGGUGCUCGAGUGGCGAACGGGUGAGUAACAAGUGAGUAACCUGCCCUUGACUUUGGGAUAACUUCAGGAAACUGGGGCAAAUACCGGAAAGGAGCUCCUGCUGCAUGGUGGGGGUUGGAAAGUUUCGGCGGUUGGGGAUGGACUGGCGGCUUAUCAGCUUGUUGGUGGGGUAGUGGCUUACCAAGGCUUUGACGGGUAGCCGGCCUGAGAGGGUGACCGGCCACAUUGGGACUGAGAUACGGCCCAGACUCCUACGGGAGGCAGCAGUGGGGAAUAUUGCACAAUGGGCGGAAGCCUGAUGCAGCAACGCCGCGUGCGGGAUGACGGCCUUCGGGUUGUAAACCGCUUUCGCCUGUGACGAAGUGUGAGUGACGGUAAUGGGUAAAGAAGCACCGGCUAACUACGUG
rnacentral:rRNA from 1 species